UGGGGAAUAUUGCACAAUGGGCGGAAGCCUGAUGCAGCGACGCCGCGUGGGGGAUGAAGGCCUUCGGGUUGUAAACUCCUUUCGACAGGGACGAAGCUUUUGUGACGGUACCUGUGUAAGAAGCACCGGCUAACUACGUGCCAGCAGCCGCGGUAAUACGUAGGGUGCGAGCGUUGUCCGGAAUUACUGGGCGUAAAGAGCUCGUAGGUGGUUUGUCGCGUCGUCUGUGAAAUUCCGGGGCUUAACUCCGGGCGUGCAGGCGAUACGGGCUGACUUGAGUGCUGUAGGGGAGACUGGAAUUCCUGGUGUAGCGGUGAAAUGCGCAGAUAUCAGGAGGAACACCGAUGGCGAAGGCAGGUCUCUGGGCAGUAACUGACGCUGAGGAGCGAAAGCAUGGGUAGCGAACAGGAUUAGAUACCCUGGUAGUCCAUGCCGUAAACGGUGGGCGCUAGGUGUAGGGGGCUUCCACGUCUUCUGUGCCGUAGCUAACGCAUUAAGCGCCCCGCCUGGGGAGUACGGCCGCAAGGCUA
rnacentral:rRNA from 1 species